rnacentral:rRNA from 1 species
GACGAACCGAGCGAACGUUGUUCGGAAUCACUGGGCUUAAAGGGCGCGUAGGCGGGCUGCCGCGUCCGGGGUGAAAUCCUCCCGCUCAACGGGAGAACGGCCCCGGGUACGGGCGGCCUCGAGGGGGGUAGGGGCACCUGGAACUGUGGGUGGAGCGGUGAAAUGCGUUGAUAUCCACAGGAACUCCGGUGGCGAAGGCGAGGUGCUGGACCCCAUCUGACGCUGAGGCGCGAAAGCCAGGGGAGCGAACGGG